UGAAAUUCUUGAAUCAAAUUCUUUUUUCUUCUGUCACUUUCUGGCUCUUUCUUCUAUUCCCUUCUUUACUUUCUUAUUUCCAGCAUUUCAAGGAACCUGUUCUUGAAAUUCUUGAAAAUUUUCUUCCUCUCUCUCGUUCUUCUCUCUUGCAAGCUGCCUUAUUCUCUUUUCCCCUUUCAAAUUCUUCUCAAUUUCCCUAUUUUCAAUUUCUGCCUUGUUAGGGUUUCCAAAUCAAGACCUUUUUAUCAAAUUCAAGAAACAUAUGAAAUAACCAAAAAAAAAUAUCUUUCUUUCCUCUCCAUCUUUCUUCCUUCUCUACAAAAUAUUUUCUUUCUUUCUGUAAUUUCUUCUCUAACUCCGCUUAAGUAGUUUGUGCUUAGCCAGUCUCAAGCCCGAAUAGAGGAGGAGGGUUGUGGUAGGUGAC
rnacentral:misc_RNA from 1 species